AGGUUCCACCCCUUCCCAUUCCGAACAGGGCAGUUAAGCUCCGCCACGCCGAUGGUACUGCGCAAGCGGGAGAGUAGGUCGCCGCCGUUU
rnacentral:rRNA from 1 species